GAUGAACGCUAGCUACAGGCUUAACACAUGCAAGUCGAGGGGCAGCAUUGGAGUAGCAAUACUUCAGAUGGCGACCGGCGCACGGGUGAGUAACACGUAUCCAACCUGCCGCUUACUCGGGGAUAGCCUUUCGAAAGAAAGAUUAAUACCCGAUGGUAUAAAGAGUCCGCAUGUUCUCUUUAUUAAAGAAUUUCGGUAAGCGAUGGGGAUGCGUUCCAUUAGAUAGUUGGCGGGGUAACGGCCCACCAAGUCUACGAUGGAUAGGGGUUCUGAGAGGAAGGUCCCCCACAUUGGAACUGAGACACGGUCCAAACUCCUACGGGAGGCAGCAGUGAGGAAUAUUGGUCAAUGGACGAGAGUCUGAACCAGCCAAGUAGCGUGAAGGAUGACUGCCCUAUGGGUUGUAAACUUCUUUUAUAAGGGAAUAAAGUGAGGGACGUGUCCCUUUUUGUAUGUACCUUAUGAAUAAGGAUCGGCUAACUCCGUGCCAGCAGCCGCAGUAAAAC
rnacentral:rRNA from 1 species